UUUAUGGGCAGCAUAGGCCUGAAUUGAGGGAGAGCGUCUACGAUUUUACCCCUUUUCAUUUUUAUGUUGCUUUGGAA
rfam:Haemonchus placei strain MHpl1 genome assembly, scaffold: HPLM_scaffold0002114